CUUCAACCGAGUUGAGGAAGAAGGAAGCCUGCUUUGGUGGGGUUCUUGUACCCACUGACUUAGAGCAGCCCAACAAGAAUCAUUGUCCUGAAGGCACCUGGCAGUUGAGCUCCCACCUAGUGUGGGGUGCGAUUUUGGACACCUCUACAGAAGACAGAGAUUUUCAGUCGCCCUCGGAGGGGUGAGGAAGGUGAAGGUUUUGAGAUGAUCCAGCGGAACCGUGUCCUAGCCCUGACUUUGGUACUCCUGCCCCAGAUCCUGAACACCUCUUUGGAGUUCGAGGCUGCCUUUCUAGUUGAGAGCAUCAUGGAGUUAAUAGCAGGAGGUUAAAGUUGUAUAUGGAUGAAGGCCAGCUUCCCCUACAGAGGGGAGUCAAAUCAGACUAUGCAGGUGGGGUCCAGUCACUGCUGGCCAUUCAGGGGUGCCAGCAUUCUAAUUGGGAGAUACAAUCAUGGAUCAGCAUGUAAACUUUAGCUCCCUCAAUAGAAGAU